UUAAAUUGAAGAGUUUGAUCAUGGCUCAGAUUGAACGCUGGCGGCAGGCCUAACACAUGCAAGUCGAACGGUAGCACAGAGAGCUUGCUCUCGGGUGACGAGUGGCGGACGGGUGAGUAAUGUCUGGGAAACUGCCUGAUGGAGGGGGAUAACUACUGGAAACGGUGGCUAAUACCGCAUAACGUCGCAAGACCAAAGAGGGGGACCUUCGGGCCUCUUGCCAUCAGAUGUGCCCAGAUGGGAUUAGCUUGUUGGUGAGGUAACGGCUCACCAAGGCGACGAUCCCUAGCUGGUCUGAGAGG
rnacentral:rRNA from 1 species